GAUGAACGCUGGCGGCGUGCCUAAUACAUGCAAGUCGAGCGAACAGACGAGGAGCUUGCUCCUCUGACGUUAGCGGCGGACGGGUGAGUAACACGUGGAUAACCUACCUAUAAGACUGGGAUAACUUCGGGAAACCGGAGCUAAUACCGGAUAAUAUAUUGAACCGCAUGGUUCAAUAGUGAAAGACGGUUUUGCUGUCACUUAUAGAUGGAUCCGCGCCGCAUUAGCUAGUUGGUAAGGUAACGGCUUACCAAGGCAACGAUGCGUAGCCGACCUGAGAGGGUGAUCGGCCACACUGGAACUGAGACACGGUCCAGACUCCUACGGGAGGCAGCAGUAGGGAAUCUUCCGCAAUGGGCGAAAGCCUGACGGAGCAACGCCGCGUGAGUGAUGAAGGUCUUCGGAUCGUAAAACUCUGUUAUUAGGGAAGAACAAAUGUGUAAGUAACUAUGCACGUCUGGACUGUACCUAAUCAGAAAGCCACGGCUAACUACGU
rnacentral:rRNA from 1 species